GAAUACCGGAGAAUGUUAUCACGGGAGACACACGGCGGGUGCUAACGUCCGUCGUGAAGAGGGAAACAACCCAGACCGCCAGCUAAGGUCCCAAAGUCAUGGUUAAGUGGGAAACGAUGUGGGAAGGCCCAGACAGCCAGGAUGUUGGCUUAGAAGCAGCCAUCAUUUAAAGAAAGCGUAAUAGCUCACUGGUCGAGUCGGCCUGCGCGGAAGAUGUAACGGGGCUAAACCAUGCACCGAAGCUGCGGCAGCGACACUGUGUGUUGUUGGGUAGGGGAGCGUUCUGUAAGCCUGUGAAGGUGUGUCGUGAGGC
rnacentral:rRNA from 1 species